rnacentral:rRNA from 1 species
UACGUAGGGGGCUAGCGUUGUCCGGAAUCAUUGGGCGUAAAGCGCGCGUAGGUGGCCCGGUAAGUCCGCUCUGAAAGUCCAGGGCUCAACCCUGGAAAGCGGGUGGAUACUGCCGGGCUAGAAUCCGGAAGAGGCGAGUGGAAUUCCUGGUGUAGCGGUGGAAUGCGCAGAUAUCAGGAGGAACACCAGUGGCGAAGGCGGUGCUCUGGGCCGGAACUGACGCUGAGGAACGAAAGCCAGGGUAGCGAACGGG